AGUAUAAAUUAAGCGCACCCCACGGACCGGUGUGAACCGGUACAUUUCGACCAUGCAAACGCCUUUCCUCCUGGUCUGGCUGGCCGCUGUACACCAAUUCAUGCCUGUUAGUAGGUGUUUUCCUGUGUACCUACCAGACACACCGACCUUAUCGCCUUAUAGCGCCAUCAAAGGAAAGCUCACGACGUCUGUCGAAACACGAGAUAAUUCAUUCAAUUUAUAUCUGAAAGCCACUUCCACAAACUCUCUGGUUUUCCUCCGAAUAAGAACGCAAACAAGUGACGGUGUGUCAAUAUUGGACUUUAAAAGAAAACGGUUCUUAUGUGUAGACGUCCAGGGAAAGUUGUUCAGUUCUAUGGUCAGCAGUAUUGAGUGCCUUUUCAAGCCUACGCGGAGGGAGAACUAUGUGGAUGUGUUCUACUCAUUUAAGAACAGACUGUUGGACGGGGCUGAAGUCCAUGUCAAAGGACACGACCGGUCAACGAGACAAAUAGUUUACAGAAGUAAGAGGAGCCAACAGGUCCACUCAGUUAUCCCAGAAGCUGAGCCCAUCGCGGAGGAUCAAUACCUGGAUAUUCAACACAUCCAGGAACGAGCUGGGGUCAUUUCCAAGGAGACCAUCACUUCUUGUGACGACCCUCUGCGGGUGUUGCAUUCCAACAGCCCAGGCAGUCCUAUCAAGAAGGCUGUGGAAAAGACAGACGCAGAGUGACAUGCUGACUGACUGUUAACGUCAGAGGAAUGAUAGACGUUUGUUAAUCUAGAGAAAAAGAGUUUGCUAGAUGACAUUAAGCAAUAUUUCCAUUGUAAGAGAAAGACCAAGCAGGCAUUGAGAGACACUGACUAGGGUGCAAGUAUUUAUGGGUUUUAUUACUUGAGUUUACAACAAAUAUAAAAUGACAAAAGAGUAAAUAAACCAGUGUUUAAAAAAUAAAUAAAAAAGUAGUUGGGCUGUUGUACAAAUGAAGCCUCAAAUAACUGUGGUCUAAAAAUAAAGGUAGAACCGAUACAUAGUAUACAUGAACCACCCGUCCCCAUGUGGUGCUACAGGGUAUAUACUGUGUAUGAA